UGCCAGCAGCCGCGGUAAUACGUAGGGCGCGAGCGUUGUCCGGAAUUAUUGGGCGUAAAGAGCUCGUAGGUGGCUUGUCGCGUCUGCCGUGAAAGCCCAUGGCUUAACUGUGGGUCUGCGGUGGAUACGGGCUGGCUAGAGGUAGGUAGGGGCAAGCGGAAUUCCUGGUGUAGCGGUGAAAUGCGCAGAUAUCAGGAGGAACACCGGUGGCGAAGGCGGCUUGCUGGGCCUUACCUGACGCUGAGGAGCGAAAGCGUGGGGAGCGAACAGGAUUAGAUA
rnacentral:rRNA from 1 species